AGUUCAGAUUGCAGGCUGCAACUCGCCUGCAUGAAGUCGGAAUUGCUAGUAAUCGUAGGUCAGCAUACUACGGUGAAUACGUUCCCGGGCCUUGUACACACCGCCCGUCAAACCAUGAGAGUUGGCAACACCCGAAGUCGGUAGUCUAACCGCAAGGAGGACGCCGCCGAAGGUGGGGUCGAUGAUUAGGGUUAAGUCGUAACAAGGUACC
rnacentral:rRNA from 1 species